GGCUUGAUGGUAUAACGGUAUUGCGCACAGCAUACAUAUUUGAGCGCUGUGAGAUACGAGUUCGAUCCUCGUUCAGGCCC